AGAGUUUGAUCAUGGCUCAGAUUGAACGCUGGCGGCAGGCCUAACACAUGCAAGUCGAGCGGUAGCACAGAGAGCUUGCUCUCGGGUGACGAGCGGCGGACGGGUGAGUAAUGUCUGGGAAACUGCCUGAUGGAGGGGGAUAACUACUGGAAACGGUAGCUAAUACCGCAUAACGUCGCAAGACCAAAGUGGGGGACCUUCGGGCCUCAUGCCAUCAGAUGUGCCCAGAUGGGAUUAGCUAGUAGGUGGGGUAACGGCUCACCUAGGCGACGAUCCCUAGCUGGUCUGAGAGGAUGACCAGCCACACUGGAACUGAGACACGGUCCAGACUCCUACGGGAGGCAGCAGUGGGGAAUAUUGCACAAUGGGCGCAAGCCUGAUGCAGCCAUGCCGCGUGUGUGAAGAAGGCCUUCGGGUUGUAAAGCACUUUCAGCGGGGAGGAAGGCGNUCGAUUGACGUUACCCGCAGAAGAAGCACCGGCUAACUCCGUGCCAGCAGCCGCGGUAAUACGGAGGGUGCAAGCGUUAAUCGGAAUUACUGGGCGUAAAGCGCACGCAGGCGGUCUGUCAAGUCGGAUGUGAAAUCCCCGGGCUCAACCUGGGAACUGCAUUCGAAACUGGCAGGCUAGAGUCUUGUAGAGGGGGGUAGAAUUCCAGGUGUAGCGGUGAAAUGCGUAGAGAUCUGGAGGAAUACCGGUGGCGAAGGCGGCCCCCUGGACAAAGACUGACGCUCAGGUGCGAAAGCGUGGGGAGCAAACAGGAUUAGAUACCCUGGUAGUCCACGCCGUAAACGAUGUCGAUUUGGAGGUUGUGCCCUUGAGGCGUGGCUUCCGGAGCUAACGCGUUAAAUCGACCGCCUGGGGAGUACGGCCGCAAGGUUAAAACUCAAAUGAAUUGACGGGGGCCCGCACAAGCGGUGGAGCAUGUGGUUUAAUUCGAUGCAACGCGAAGAACCUUACCUGGUCUUGACAUCCACAGAACUUUCCAGAGAUGGAUUGGUGCCUUCGGGAACUGUGAGACAGGUGCUGCAUGGCUGUCGUCAGCUCGUGUUGUGAAAUGUUGGGUUAAGUCCCGCAACGAGCGCAACCCUUAUCCUUUGUUGCCAGCGGUNNNNNNNNNNNNNNNNNNNNNNNNNNNNNNNNNNNNNNNNNNNNNNNNNNNNNNNNNNNNNNGGCCGGGAACUCAAAGGAGACUGCCAGUGAUAAACUGGAGGAAGGUGGGGAUGACGUCAAGUCAUCAUGGCCCUUACGACCAGGGCUACACACGUGCUACAAUGGCAUAUACAAAGAGAAGCGACCUCGCGAGAGCAAGCGGACCUCAUAAAGUAUGUCGUAGUCCGGAUUGGAGUCUGCAACUCGACUCCAUGAAGUCGGAAUCGCUAGUAAUCGUAGAUCAGAAUGCUACGGUGAAUACGUUCCCGGGCCUUGUACACACCGCCCGUCACACCAUGGGAGUGGGUUGCAAAAGAAGUAGGUAGCUUAACCUUCGGGAGGGCGCUUACCACUUUGUGAUUCAUGACUGGGGUGAAGUCGUAACAAGGUAACCGUAGGGGAACCUGCGGUUGGAUCACCU
rnacentral:rRNA from 1 species